UCGCAAGACCUCGCGCGAUUGGAGCGGCCGAUAUCAGAUUAGCUAGUUGGUGAGGUAAAGGACUCACCAAGGCGACGAUCUGUAGCUGGUCUGAGAGGACGACCAGCCACACUGGAACUGAGACACGGUCCAGACUCCUACGGGAGGCAGCAGUGGGGAAGUUUUGGUACAAUGGGCGAAAGCCUGAUCCAGCAAUGCCGCGUGCAGGACGAAGGCCUUCGGGUUGUAAACUGCUUUUGUACGGAGCGAAACGGUCUUCUCUAAUACAGGGGGCUAAUGACGGUACCGUAAGAAUAAGCACCGGCUAACUACGUG
rnacentral:rRNA from 1 species